CCCUUAGAUGUUCUGGGCAGCACGCGCGCUACAAUGGUCUUCGCAAACGGAUGCAUUCUCGAAGGAGAAUACCAAUCUUGGAAUCUAUGCCUUGGUCGGGACAGUUGCUUGCAAUUUUUCGACUCGAACCAGGAAUUCCUUGUAAUCGUGAUUCAUCACAUCACGAUGAAUACGUCCCUGCCCUUUGUACACACCGCCCGUCGCUCCUACCGAUCGAAGAGUUAGGUGAAUUGUUUUGAUCGAUAAGAUUUGACUAUGGUCAACUCUCGUUGUGAAAUUCUGUGAAUCUGACUGUUUAGAGGAAGGAAAAGGCGUAACA
rnacentral:rRNA from 1 species